rnacentral:rRNA from 1 species
UACGUAGGGCGCAAGCGUUGUCCGGAAUUAUUGGGCGUAAAGAGCUCGUAGGCGGUCCGUUGCGUCUGCCGUGAAAACCCGAGGCUUAACCUCGGGCCUGCGGUGGAUACGGGCGGACUAGAGGUAGGUAGGGGAGAAUGGAAUUCCCGGUGUAGCGGUGAAAUGCGCAGAUAUCGGGAGGAACACCGGUGGCGAAGGCGGGACUCUGGGCCGAUACUGACGCUGAGGAGCGAAAGCGUGGGGAGCAAACAGG